GGGUUGUGAGGUUAAGCGACUAAGCGUACACGGUGGAUGCCCUGGCAGUCAGAGGCGAUGAAGGACGUGCUAAUCUGCGAUAAGCGUCGGUAAGGUGAUAUGAACCGUUAUAACCGGCGAUUUCCGAAUGGGGAAACCCAGUGUGUUUCGACACACUAUCAUUAACUGAAUCCAUAGGUUAAUGAGGCGAACCGGGGGAACUGAAACAUCUAAGUACCCCGAGGAAAAGAAAUCAACCGAGAUUCCCCCAGUAGCGGCGAGCGAACGGGGAGCAGCCCAGAGCCUGAAUCAGUGUGUGUGUUAGUGGAAGCGUCUGGAAAGGCGUGCGAUACAGGGUGACAGCCCCGUACACAAAAAUGCACAUAUUGUGAGCUCGAUGAGUAGGGCGGGACACGUGGUAUCCUGUCUGAAUAUGGGGGGACCAUCCUCCAAGGCUAAAUACUCCUGACUGACCGAUAGUGAACCAGUACCGUGAGGGAAAGGCGAAAAGAACCCCGGCGAGGGGAGUGAAAAAGAACCUGAAACCGUGUACGUACAAGCAGUGGGAGCACGCUUAGGCGUGUGACUGCGUACCUUUUGUAUAAUGGGUCAGCGACUUAUAUUCUGUAGCAAGGUUAACCGAAUAGGGGAGCCGAAGGGAAACCGAGUCUUAACUGGGCGUUAAGUUGCAGGGUAUAGACCGAAACCCGGUGAUCUAGNCAUGGGCAGGUUGAAGGUUGGGUAACACUAACUNGGAGGA
rnacentral:rRNA from 1 species